GAGUUUGAUCAUGGCUCAGAACGAACGCUGGCGGCAUGCCUAACACAUGCAAGUCGAACGUGAUCCUGGCUUCGGCUGGGUGAAAGUGGCAGACGGGUGAGUAACGCGUGGGAACCUGCCCUGUGGUAGGGAAUAACCGCGGGAAACUGCGGCUAAUACCCUAUGAGCCCUGAGGGGCAAAGAUUUAUCGCCAUAGGAGGGGCCCGCGUCGGAUUAGGUAGUUGGUGGGGUAACGGCCUACCAAGCCUUCGAUCCGUAGCUGGUCUGAGAGGAUGAUCAGCCACACUGGGACUGAGAUACGGCCCAGACUCCUACGGGAGGCAGCAGUGGGGAAUAUUGGACAAUGGGGGCAACCCUGAUCCAGCAAUGCCGCGUGGGUGAUGAAGGCCUUCGGUUGUAAG
rnacentral:rRNA from 1 species